rnacentral:rRNA from 1 species
AACGAACGCUGGCGGCAUGCCUAACACAUGCAAGUCGAACGAGACCUUCGGGUCUAGUGGCGCACGGGUGCGUAACGCGUGGGAACCUGCCCUUAGGUUCGGAAUAACUCCCCGACAGGGGUGCUAAUACCGGAUAAUGUCUUCGGACCAAAGAUUUAUCGCCUUUGGAUGGGCCCGCGUUGGAUUAGCUAGUUGGUAGGGUAAAAGCCUACUAAGGCGACGAUCCAUAGCUGGUCUGAGAGGAUGAUCAGCCACACUGGGACUGAGAAACGGCCCAGACUCCUACGGGAGGCAGCAGUGGGGAAUAUUGGACAGUGGGCGAAAGCCUGAUCCAGCAAUGCCGCGUGAGUGAUGAAGGCCUUAGGGUUGUAAAGCUCUUUUACCCGGGAUGAUAAUGACAGUACCGGGAGAAUAAGCUCCGGCUAACUCCGUG